ACGGCCAUGCACCACCACCCACCGAAUCAAGAAAGAGCUCUCAAUCUGUCAAUCCUUCCGGUGUCCGGGCCUGGUGAGAUUUCCCGUGUUGAGUCAAAUUAAGCCGCAGGCUCCACUCCUGGUGGUGCCCUUCCGUCAAUUCCUUUAAGUUUCAGCUUUGCAACCAUACUUCCCCCGGAACCCAAAAGCUUUGGUUUCCCGGAAGCUGCCCGCCGAGUCAUCGGAGGAACGUCGGCGGAUCGCUAGCUGGCAUCGUUUAUGGUCAGAACUAGGGCGGUAUCUGAUCGCCUUCGAACCUCUGACUUUCGUUCUUGAUUAAUGAAAACAUUUUUGGCAAAUGCUUUCGCUUCUGUCCGUCUUGCGACGAUCCAAGAAUUUCACCUCUAACGUCGCAAUACGAAUGCCCCCAUCUGUCCCUAUUAAUCAUUACCUCGGGGUUCCGAAAACCAACAAAAUAGAACCGAGGUCCUGUUCCAUUAUUCCAUGCACACAGUAUUCAGGCGAAAUUUUAGCCUGCUUUGAGCACUCUAAUUUGUUCAAAGUAAACGUGCCGGCCCGCCUCGACACUCAAUUAAGAGCACCGCGACAGGAUUAUUGAGUCGGAUGGUAGAACACCUGCAACCCCACCACAUCAUACAGUAACAACCGGAGUUGCACACGCACAAUGGGGAAGAAUACAGGGUCUACGCAUCCACCGGCAGGACGUUCCGCGGACGUGCCAGUUAAACACCGCGGGCGGUGAACCGACAGCGCGGAACACAAGUUCAACUACGAGCUUUUUAACCGCAACAACUUUAAUAUACGCUAUUGGAGCUGGAAUUACCGCGGCUGCUGGCACCAGACUUGCCCUCCAAUUGCUAAUUGUUAAAGGAUUUAAAGUGUACUCAUUCCGAUUACGGGGCCUCGGAUGAGUCCCGUAUCGUUAUUUUUCGUCACUACCUCCCCGUGCCGGGAGUGGGUAAUUUG
rnacentral:rRNA from 1 species